UUGUCAUCAUCCCUUCCGCGGCUAGUAGCCUGUGCCUCCCCUGUCAUCCCAUACCAGUGCUCGUAUGUUCACAGGAAUGCAGUCCAAACGGUUGGGAGUUCAAAUUUUCCCUGCAGCCACCAGAAGGCCAUCAAAAUCAGCUGACUCAAAGAUGUACGUUGGCCUAGUCUGGAAACCUCUUCCUGAGGAGAGCAAACACACAAGGCUGGAAUGAUUCAUGACGGUAACA